CUGUCAACACAGUGAUGGCAAAACAAACACAGGGCCACUGGACAGACAGUAGAGUCAACACAGACUGAACGUGCCCUCAGUGACUGAAUAUAAGGAACUCUGGAUGCUGUGACUGUCAAGGCCGGCCAGUUAUAGACAACAGAAUGAGGGCUGCUUUGAGUUUUCACCUCCAUGGGGUCCUUCAACACCCUCACUCAUUCCAAAGUCCGAACAAGAAGAAAGAGACAGGAGAAAUGAUAACGACAGA